GGGGUUGUGGCUCAGUGGUAGAGUGCUUGCCUACCAUGUAGAAAGCACUGGGUUUGAUCCUCAGCACCCCA
rnacentral:tRNA from 1 species